rnacentral:lncRNA from 1 species
AGUGUGUAUGAUCCAAUCUUUGGCCAUCAUGGAGUUAGGUCCACCAUCAAAAGAAGGAGGCUUCAAUCUCUAUAACUCAUAAAUAUUGCUCAAAAUUACGUAGACAGGAUUAAGUAGGUCCUCACCAGGAUGAGGAUGAUCAUCAUUGUGAGCACGAUUGUGACUGAUAGCAGCAGUCAAACCUUUAGUGGCCCAUAACAACUUAGUAAAUCCUGC